rnacentral:rRNA from 1 species
GACGAACCGUCCGACCGUUAUUCGGAAUCACUGGGCUUAAAGGGUGCGUAGGCGGCGCGGAAAGUUGGGUGUGAAAUCCCUCGGCUCAACCGAGGAACUGCGCCCAAAACUACCGUGCUCGAGGGAGAUAGAGGUGAGCGGAACUUAGGGUGGAGCGGUGAAAUGCGUUGAUAUCCUAAGGAACACCGGUGGCGAAAGCGGCUCACUGGAUCUUUUCUGACGCUGAGGCACGAAAGCUAGGGUAGCGAACGGG